GCAGGCUAAAUUCAUGUGAAUGACAUGUACUUGCAGAAGAAGUUGAAUCAGACCAGGAAUUCCUAUAGAAUCGUCGGUAAAAAUAUACACUGACAUAGACCAAUACUAGACUUCAGGAAACUUGAGUUUACCUCUGUUAUACAAGUGGAUUAUUUUAGAGUACUGAAUCAACUCAAAAUUGUAUAAGGAAAAGCAAUUUUAAAAGACAGCUUUGAAAAUGGAGACAUUCACUCGGAACGCUUUCUGAAAAUGGCUUACUUAUUUUAAAUUUAGUUUUAUGCCAAAAACACUUCCAUAUGGUUUCCAUUUUGACUAAUGAGCAACACAGCUGUAAUACUUCUUUGUAAAACAUGUAUCCUUCUUUAAUGCUUUUGAGCAGCUAGAAACUGCUUAAUCGGUAUUUUAAACGUCAUGAUAUUUCCAUGAUGGAAUAUUUCUUCCCUUCCUGGCAACUCUGAUAUCCACCCUUCCACAUUGCAGGGUUUCUUGAUAUCUUAAUCUAGUUGGCCUUGAGCUGUGGUACUGUUUUCUGGCAGCUUCCAUUAUUCAUAUUUUAUUGUGGAAUGUGACAGUAUAAAUAGCUUAUAUCUGAGAGGUCAUUCAUAGGUGUAUGGCUCCACAGGACCCUGUGGGAUUGCCAGGAUGCCCUCAGCCAGCCUGUUUUCCAGUUCUUGAUUCUUCUCAUUGAGACUAAAAGCUUUUGCAGGGUAUCUAGAGUACUUUUAGGGGAGUAGAGAAUCCUUCAUGGCACUCACUGAUAUUGACGUAUUCUGGAGCUUCUCCUUGAUAGGCAUUUU
rnacentral:lncRNA from 1 species